AAAUUGAAGAGUUUGAUCAUGGCUCAGAUUGAACGCUGGCGGCAGGCCUAACACAUGCAAGUCGAACGGUAACAGGAAGCAGCUUGCUGCUUUGCUGACGAGUGGCGGACGGGUGAGUAAUGUCUGGGAAACUGCCUGAUGGAGGGGGAUAACUACUGGAAACGGUGGCUAAUACCGCAUAACGUCGCAAGACCAAAGAGGGGGACCUUCGGGCCUCUUGCCAUCAGAUGUGCCCAGAUGGGAUUAGCUUGUUGGUGAGGUAACGGCUCACCAAGGCGACGAUCCCUAGCUGGUCUGAGAGGAUGACCAGCCACACUGGAACUGAGACACGGUCCAGACUCCUACGGGAGGCAGCAGUGGGGAAUAUUGCACAAUGGGCGCAAGCCUGAUGCAGCCAUGCCGCGUGUAUGAAGAAGGCCUUCGGGUUGUAAAGUACUUUCAGCGGGGAGGAAGGUGUUGUGGUUAAUAACCACAGCAAUUGACGUUACCCGCAGAAGAAGCACCGGCUAACUCCGUGCCAGCAGCCGCGGUAAUACGGAGGGUGCAAGCGUUAAUCGGAAUUACUGGGCGUAAAGCGCACGCAGGCGGUCUGUCAAGUCGGAUGUGAAAUCCCCGGGCUCAACCUGGGAACUGCAUUCGAAACUGGCAGGCUUGAGUCUUGUAGAGGGGGGUAGAAUUCCAGGUGUAGCGGUGAAAUGCGUAGAGAUCUGGAGGAAUACCGGUGGCGAAGGCGGCCCCCUGGACAAAGACUGACGCUCAGGUGCGAAAGCGUGGGGAGCAAACAGGAUUAGAUACCCUGGUAGUCCACGCCGUAAACGAUGUCUACUUGGAGGUUGUGCCCUUGAGGCGUGGCUUCCGGAGCUAACGCGUUAAGUAGACCGCCUGGGGAGUACGGCCGCAAGGUUAAAACUCAAAUGAAUUGACGGGGGCCCGCACAAGCGGUGGAGCAUGUGGUUUAAUUCGAUGCAACGCGAAGAACCUUACCUGGUCUUGACAUCCACAGAACUUUCCAGAGAUGGAUUGGUGCCUUCGGGAACUGUGAGACAGGUGCUGCAUGGCUGUCGUCAGCUCGUGUUGUGAAAUGUUGGGUUAAGUCCCGCAACGAGCGCAACCCUUAUCCUUUGUUGCCAGCGGUCCGGCCGGGAACUCAAAGGAGACUGCCAGUGAUAAACUGGAGGAAGGUGGGGAUGACGUCAAGUCAUCAUGGCCCUUACGACCAGGGCUACACACGUGCUACAAUGGCGCAUACAAAGAGAAGCGACCUCGCGAGAGCAAGCGGACCUCAUAAAGUGCGUCGUAGUCCGGAUUGGAGUCUGCAACUCGACUCCAUGAAGUCGGAAUCGCUAGUAAUCGUGGAUCAGAAUGCCACGGUGAAUACGUUCCCGGGCCUUGUACACACCGCCCGUCACACCAUGGGAGUGGGUUGCAAAAGAAGUAGGUAGCUUAACCUUCGGGAGGGCGCUUACCACUUUGUGAUUCAUGACUGGGGUGAAGUCGUAACAAGGUAACCGUAGGGGAACCUGCGGUUGGAUCACCUCCUUACCUGAAAGAA
rnacentral:rRNA from 5 species